rnacentral:sRNA from 1 species
GGUGACGCAGGCGUAAUAAUAGAGAAGGUGCCAGAAAGAUCCAAAACAAGUGGCUGCGGCCGUCGCCCAGGAGUCACCGGACGCCAGAAUCUGUGUCUCCAGAACGCUAUAGCUAUGGCACCUCCAGCUCUUCAAAGAGGACAGAGGGUAGCUGCCGUCGCCGUCGGCAGUCAAGCAGUUCUGCAAAUUCUCAGCAGGGUCAGUGGGAGACAGGCUCCCCCCCAACCAAGCGGCAGCGGCGGAGUCGGGGCCGGCCCAGUGGUGGUGCCAGACGGCGGCGGAGAGGGGCCCCAGCCGCACCCCAGCAGCAGCCAGAGCCCGCCAGACCUUCCUCUGAAGGCAAAGUGACCUGUGGCUGUACAAGAAGCAGGGUGCCAGCAUCUGCUUCUGUUGAGGACCUCCGGAAGCUUCCAUUCAUGGUGGAAGGCCAAGGGGAGCAGGCUUGUCACAUGACAUCCGGCUCCGGGUUCGAGCAGAGUACUGCGAGCAUGGGCCAGCCUUGGAGCAGGGCGUGGCAUCCCGGCGGCCCCAGGCGCUGGCGCGGCAGCUGGACGUGUUUGGGCAGGCCACCGCAGUGCUGCGCUCAAGGGACCUGGGCUCCGUGGUUUGUGACAUCAAGUUCUCAGAGCUCUCCUAUCUGGACGCCUUCUGGGGCGACUACCUGAGUGGCGCCCUGCUGCAGGCCCUGCGGGGCGUGUUCCUGACUGAGGCCCUG